rnacentral:lncRNA from 1 species
GUAUACGUCUAAAUUAUAUUUGGGCUUUAGGUUAUAAUAUUCUAGCCAUUCCUAUUGCUGCUGGCAUACUUUUUCCUUCUACUAAAUUUAGGUUACCACCUUGGAUUGCUGGAGCUGCAAUGGCUGCUUCUUCUAUCAGUGUUGUUUGCUCUUCUCUCUUGUUGAAGAAAUACAAGAAACCAACCAAGCUUAACAACUUGGAGAUGAAUGGUAUUCAAAUUGAAUGAUCAACUUGUCAUUUGUAAAUUUGUAAGUAUAAUAAUUAGUCUUGUUUGUUGGGAGCAACAUUUUGUUAUGUUGCAAUUGUAAUUUCAAUGUAAAUGAAAAAGUAGUUUUUUCUAUUAAAAAAAAAGUAAUUAGUUUUAGUAAAACAAGAUGUUUAAUUUCAAUAUUGAUCUUGAAUACGAAGAAUAUUGGAUUUUUUUUUUUUAAGAAAAGAUGUUUAUAGUAUUUCUUAUAGUAAGUUGUUCAACAAAUGUAGAUACAUCAAUGUAAAUAUGAAAAUUUGCUAGAGAUCUGGUCAUCCGCGGUGAAACAUGAACGGUUUCAUUUGUUUGUCUAUAGUAAACUUAAUAGGAGAGUUUUUCAAAUGGGAGAAGAAAAAACGAUCACACUUAUUAUUAAUGUCUUCAAAUUCAGCAAUGUCGUUCUUAUCACUAUUAAGAUCAACCACUUUUUUGGCUUAGUGUAAAGUCCAAUGGUCUCAGAUGCAAUUCAAGAACCCAAGUGAUUGCAUGUAGAAGGCCAAGGCUUCCCUUAUAUCUACACUACGUAUAGGCGAAAUCCAAACUGUUUUUGUGGGAACAAAUUGGUCAUCUACAUCACGAAUGCAAAUGUCAAUCCCAAAUUGAUUUUGAUGUGAAGAGAAUGACACGUCAAUGUUGCAUUUGUAGCACCCCGUUGUUGGUUUCAUCCAAUUUGUAUCAACUAUAAUGAGGGAUACGUGAAGUUAUAUCAUAAUCUUAGAAAAUAUACAUUCAACCAAUAGUAAUCAUUGAAUGAAUAGUUAACAAAGUCUAAACUUUGAUUUAGAAUUCUUUCAAACUAAUAGAAUAGUCUAAACUAAUGUGCGGCCUAUGUGGUUUCGUAAUUUAUUUUUGAUAAACGCGGAAAUACGUAUUAUUGUGUUGAGGAUUUUGAAAUCAUCUUUUAUCAUACAUGCCAAAUCAUUUUCUCCUUAGAUGAUCUUUUAGUUUCCUUGUGUCGAUUACCCCUAUGAAUCUUGCAAAGUUGAACGAUUUUCCUUCCUUGUUUCGCUUCUUUGGCAUGAACACGUCAACCAAAGCUCCAUAUUGUUGGAAGGGUUACAUAAUAUCCUACAAGUAUCCUCGAGAACAUUGGUGAAAUAACACGUGGUGAUGUCAUCGUAUCAGUUAAUUUUGUUAUAUGUCUCUCUCUUCCUCCCUCCCUCCCUCAUCAUAGAUACAUAUCUAGAAUAUGCAUCUAGGAUAUAUGGGAGAAAUUAGAGACUGAAUAAGCCAACAUUAAAUCAGACUUAUGUUGAGUUCUUUUAAAAACUUUUGCGUUGAUAUCCAAGCUUUGUCUUUUAUAAAAUUGUGUAUCAACUUCGUAGCAGUAGUACCAAAGUUAGCGCGUAACCGUAUACACCACAAAAUCCAUAAGUUAAUUAAUUAUUUUAAACUUUUUGGCAUCUCGUGCUUUCCGGGAAUCGCAAGUCAUCAUAAGUUAAUUAAUUAACGGGUCAUUUCAAUUUGUAUCCUAAGAUCCAAAAAUAAAAGUUUUACGUUUAAAAAAAACAAAUAUUUUUUUAGAGGCUCUUAUCAAUAAGAUCAAAAAAUUAACGGGUUAUUUCAAUUUGUUAUUCAUUUGAUACGAAUCUUUUUAAAUAAAGGCAUGUAGCCUCUUCAUUUUUAAAUACAUGUCACUGUCAAUUUUUAUACAAUGUCAAUAUACAAUUUUGAUCAAUAAUAGAUUUAUUUAUUUAUAAUUCUUUUUUAUAUUUGAAGAUAUUCAUCGAAAAAAUAAAACAACAUUUUAUAUGCUAACAUUUAUAUUUUUAUAUUAGUUAAAAAUAUUGUUAAAGCAAAUUUCCUGGAUAAUAUACUUUAUAAAAAUGCGACGUAUCUUUGGAAAUGAAUGAAAUAUCACUAAAGUACAUUGACAUAUUCCUUCGUUAAUAACUUAUAUACGUCAAUUCUACCAAAAAAAAAAAAACUUAUAUACGUCAAUUAUCAUGUCGUGAGGUAGUUUUCCUCACAUUAUUAUACUAACAAAUACUCCAUUAAUUUUAAAAUGAAUGAAAGAAUAUUUAUUUUGCCUAAUUAUUGAUGUCUUUUAAUUUCACUAUCAUAAUUUAAAAGUUAAAUAUGUUUUUAAUCCUUACAAAAUUACAAAUUUUCAAGUUUAGUUUAUAUAUUAUUUUAAUAUUACUUUAUAAUAUUGUAGUUGUAAGUACCUUAUUUUAAUUUAUUUAUUUUUAAUAAAAAAUAGAUACUUUUAGUCUUCCAAAAUAGUCUUUAUAAAAUAUAAAUAAGACUAAAAAUAAAUAUUUUUUUUUUCAAAACUAAACUUAAAAACUUACAAUUUUAAUUUGCAAGAACCUAUUUAACUCUAAAUUUAAACUAGAAGUCAUAUUUUGGUUUUAGCAGCAAAAGAAAUAAGUAAUAUUUGGGAGUUCUGAACAUAGAUGGUACAAUUGAAAAGAAUUAAUACUGUAUCGAAAAUAAUUAGCCUUAUUCAUUUUAAAAUAACUUUUUUGUUAAAAAGAAUAUAGAUAUGGAAAAUUCUAUGGUGAAAUUAUGAGAAUGACUUUUCUGGUGAAGUCAACACUAUAGUAUUAAAAGUGUAGUGAGUAGCACCCCACUGUUUAUAAAGUUCAGUCUUCAUAGUAUCAUCAAUUCAUCAGAUUAACAAGACUGCACUUAAUCUAAUUUUAUCAUACCUUGUUUUAAGGGUAACAUUCCAAAAAGUGUAACACUUAAGACUAUCGCAUAAUAUCAUCAACUAUGUUUGCAUGUUAAAGAUGUCAACGAUAAAAUAGUACAUGUAAGUCCAAGAUGUUGCAAGCAUUACUAGAUGAAUUACUAUUGAUCAUUAAUCAGCAAUCAAAUUUAAAAAUGAAUCGAAUAGUAAGAUCAAAAUUAACUUUUUCAAAAAAGUCAGUUUUCUGACUGCACUGUAGAAGCUCCCGAUAGAUAUAUCUUUUUGCAAGGUAUAAAGAUAAGUUUUUUAAAAUAAAAAAAAAAUAAGCUAAAUGUUGAUAAAUAUCUUUAGGGCAUUGGUUAAACAUCUAAAAAUAGUAAUUUAACAUUAAAAGUUAUAUAGUUAUGAUUUGUCCACAUUAAAAGAUAUAUUAUAAAAAUAUAUAUAUUGUUUUCAUUAUGUUUUCAAGACAAAAAUUCCCUUCGUAAGCUCCUUAAAUUAACAAUACCUUUAAAAAAAGUUUUUUUCUUUUUUUUGGAAGAAACCUUUAAGACUAUUGUUAGCAAGCCCGUAACCACUAAUAUUAAGAUUAACAAAGAUAUAAUAUCCAUUGAGCAACCACCUCCAACACGCGUAGUUUUCGUCUGAUAACCACAAAGGAAGGUGCUAAGAAAUUAAGUGGCAGUGGCAAUUCACAACGAAACUUCAUAAACCUCUCUAUAUAAGAUACGCUAUAUACCCACUCUCUUUCCCCCUCUCUCCCUCUGGGGUUUCAAAUAUGAACUUUGAAGAUUCAUAAUCACAAAGUUUUAUAUAUAGUACCUAUAAACUUUGAAUUCUAGAUCCUAGUUACAACAACCUAGACUUUCUCGACCUAGUUAUUAUACAUAGGUGACACUCACACAACAGAACUAGAUGCUAUUACAUCACAACUUCCACAAAACAUUCAAACAAGUUCAACAUGACCAUACAUCGUUGCAGUUUCUUAGGUCAACUCUCAAAGAUUUUUCUCCACUUGUUGAAGAUAUCAACCAAUAAAAUGAACAUUUAACUCAACUCAUUCGGGUGGUGUAUGCCCCUAGAGAUCUUUGCCUGUUGUAUCCAUUCUCGAAACGAGAAUGUAUAGAACGAUGGGUUGGUGUAUCCCUGCGUUGAAGCCAAACAUAUUGAAGGCCUGUUUAACCACUUGGUUGACGUUGUGGUCAACCUAAUUGGUUGCAAUAUUUCAACACAACGUUGCUAUUGUGGUGGUUGGUAAAGUUUACACCAUUGCAUUGGUUAUGGGCCAAAACAUUAACGUCGUGUCCCUUGUGAUUGUCGUUCGGCCUCUGAUUCAAAUGAACGAGGACAUGUUCGUCAAUCCUUAGGAUUUCGUUAUGAAAUUAAGGCUGCUGAACUUCACCUUGUUCCAGCAUACCAACACCCAUGAAUUGGUUUAAUGUAGCCAUUUGGUUGGCCAUAGCCAUAGAAGCAUGGUUUGUAUUCUUGAUCAACUAUGUGAUAACUGCCCCAUCUGUUGAGUGAAAUGUUCACCUUCUGAUGGUUGCUAUUUGUCCAUCUGUUGUCAAACAAUCGUCAUCGAAUCUUAUGUCAAUCUGACAUGAUUCUAUGGUAUAUUUGAAAAACCUAGGCCAAGUUACCCUGGCCAUAUGACAUGUCUGCCAACGAGUUAAUAAGACUCGGCAACAUUAAUUCUAAUGGUAGGCCUAAUAGGUCAGCAACUACUGGGCGUGACUACAUGAAAGUUAUGUCUGUGUCGCACCAUCUCCUACGUUAAAGCCUUACUAACAUCGUGCAUAAACUGAAAAUGUGCCUAUCAAACUGCAUAUCGUCCGCGUUGAAAGAAUCCACCUUGUCAGACGAAGGCGGUGGAUGAUGAGUCAACCGACGACAUGGGUAUCAACAUUGUCAAGUGUGACUACUAACAAGUCAGUUAUGGUAUUAGAAAUUCCAACACUUUGCGUAUUAAACUUUUUUUUUUUUAUUAGUUUUAGAGUUGUUAGAAGGUUCACAAGGUUUCUUAAACUUCUUAUAGGCAUGCAAACUUAUAAUAAUUGUCGAAAACAAUAUUUAAAAUACAUGUAGGUUACUUCAAACUUGUUCCACUACGUGUGCGUUUACAAAUAUUUUUUAUCUAAGGAAAAUCAACCAAAUUCAAAGCACAAAUAAAUCUAUAAUCACUGUGAUUAAGGGAGUCUAACAAGUUAUUAGGCGUAUACUAACACGUUUAAAGGUUGAUUUUGAAAAAUGUUGUUCAAUUGGAUUUAAGUUUUGUGUUCGAAAUUGUUUAAAAACGGUUUAACGGUUUAAAGUUAACUGCUGAUGAAGUAAAAGAUUUGAAGUGAAAAUGACAAUUAAAUUAAAAGAGUGUGAAAGCAAAAAGCUUUUAAGUUACAAGACUGGACUGUAAAUAGCGUGAAAAUUAUAAGUGUUGAGUUUGAACUUACUUGAAAUAUAAAGUGCGAGAAAAGCAAGAGGAAUUGAAAGACAAUGUUUUGAAGAUAAAUUUGUGGAAAUUGUAGAGUAUUUUGAAUUGAAAUAACAAGAACUUUAAAAAAUUUAAUAGAUGGUGAAAGGUAUGCUUAAAGUUCUGAAAUACUUGAGUUAGUUACGUGUAGAUUUUAAAAAAUUAACUAUAUGACCAUUUGUCUUUGUGAGAACUCAUAUUUAUAGGAAAAAAAACCAUUUGUUAUUUGUUGAGCUAUUCUUAACAAAUCAUGUCUUGUACGUCGACACACACUCCAAAUUUCGUUAUUAAUCGGUUGAUAAUCCACCUAAUUGAAGUCAUGAUAUAAGAUGUACUUAAAAUGUCACUUUCUCCAUGAUGUGCACUAAUAGUAUGAAUGCGUUGAGACUCGUCACUUUACUCAAACGUCUCUUGUAAUCCUGUUAAAAAAUUUGAAUUUAUGUUGACCCGCAAUCCUCUUACACAAAACUCGCAAUCCUCUUAGACAAAACUGAAAUUUCGCUAAGAACAUUAUUAUUGAUUGUCGCUCUAAAAUAUUUCAAAGGCUACGGGAUUACCAAACUACGCUUUCCUACCAAAGAAAUAAACAAAAAGCCUCGAGGACAAUCAAAGAUUAAGAUUUUGUAAUCUGAUAUCUGGAAUUUAAGAUUUCAAAUUGAUGAAGAUGCAGUUAAUAGAUUGGUACUUUGCUGAGGAAAAUAGAUUGGAAGGGAAAAGAAGUCUGUCCUAUAUCCUGGUCGAUGUUUGUCAGUUUGGCCUGAUUCAAAAGACACCAUUAGGAAUUUUCAAUUCCAGAUAUCAUGUUAUAAAAUUUUUGUGACUUCAGAGGUUAAAAAAUAAAACAUAGUUCAUAAUCAUAUCAUGCCUCUCAAAAAACUGUUCAUAUCAUUAUAAUCAGUUAUUUCAAAAAAAUCAUUAUAAUCAGUUGAAGAAAAAAAAAAACAUAACAAUUCGUAUAUUCCCAACCUUACAAAUAUAUUGUCCGAAAGAUUGCACAUGAUAUUGGCAACUCAGAAUUAAUUGUUUUGCCGAACAACUUUUCAUCAAAUUCACAUAAAAAAAUUGCACAUGAUUGGACCCUUUAAAGCAAUAUUACGAUAUGUUACUUGUUAGUUUGGUGCCAUUGAUAAACUUUUGAUUUUGAUUAAAUACAUGUUGUGGACCUUGUGAGUUAAUGCUCUUAGAGGAAGACCGUUGGAGCACAUUUGCAAGUGCUUUUAUAAUUUUUCAAUCUGCCCCUAUAUUCUUAGAGGUCCCCCAAUAUUCUUAGCAGUGUGCAUUUCAGCUAAAAUACAUUACCAUAAGUCUGCAUGUCCCAUAUUAUUUAGGGGAAAUGCUAGUGUUCCCCACAAAUUAUACCCCGAGAGAUCACGAUGUUAGUUAAUUAAUACCCCACCUCCACCUCUUCAAUCUUUAGCCAUCCAUGUUUUCCAAUUAAACCAAGAUCUAACGGUUUGAAUUAUUCUUAUACUUUCGUUGUGAAUAGCAUAUAUAGCUCUUUAUUUAGCGAAAAUGUCAACUUGAGUGUGAACGUUGAUUUCUCCAUUUAUGUGUGAGUUUCCAAUAACAAUUGUUAUUUGGUUUAUCUAAAAAAAAAAAAAGUUAUCGUAAAGACUCUUUCAAUAGCUACCAAGGGAUGGAUUAAAAAAUUAUUAUUAUUUUUUUUUUGCAAAGGUGAGGAUGGGCAAAGGUUAUUUCAACAAAUAUGGUUGGAUAAAACAAAAUUGGGAGUAAAGAACGGGACAAAAGUUUAAAUUAUCAGUUAUCCAUGAAACAUUGCAAGGAAAUACCAAGGAGUGUUCAAUGACUAAAGGGUUGAAGUUAGCAAGAUCUAGCUUUAUACAUGUCAAAAAUAUCAAAUAUUUUAAAAAUUAUUGUUAACGAGUGUUUUCAUAUAUUCUUUAAGCAUUUUAAAAGAAGAAAUUAUUUCAUAAAAAAAAGUUAAAUAUUUCAAUUUUAUUUACAUGGUUACAUAAAUUUUAAAAAAAGUUAGCAUUUAAAUAUCUUAAUUAAAAAUGCCCAGGACACUUGUUUUUCUUUGUUCUUUCACAACCCUAAACUAAACCCUCGUACAAGCUGUUCAUUAGACAAAUUUACAUAAGUUUGCUCUCCAAUACCCGGUCUUUGGCAUUGAUAAUAAAAUUUCCACUAAAGUCAAAGCGUAGAAUCAUGACAAGAACUUGUUGUGCAUUCAUAUACUACUACUUGUAUUUUGUUUUCCUUGAAACAUCAUAUAUCAGCACAAAUUCCUCGCAACUUCUUCAUAUUUAUAUAUAUAUUCCACACACACCAACCACAUAUUUCCCAUCUAUCUAUCUACUUGUUCACAAAUAUUAAAUAUCUUAUCUUAUUCUUAUUUCAAACCCAUAAAUUGCGGUGUAAUUUCCUUUACCCUACCAACACGUUACAACAAAUAAUAAUAAUAUUAAAACUAAUACUACCCGUUGAGUUGAUCAACUCCCAACACACGUUAAUGAUAACCACAAAGGUAGAUGAUGCAAGGAAAUUCAGCAUCUAGCUGCAAGUAACACCGAAACUUCAUAAAUAUAAGACUACAUAUACCUCUCCCCGGUUCUGAAAUUUGAAAUAAUAAUCUUCACCAUCUUACCUACAAAAUAAAAAUAUCUUUACCAUCAUUUCAUUUCAAUAUUUUACUAAUGGGACACAACAUAGAACUAGAUGCUAUUUCAUCACCACAGCUUCAACAAAAGAAUCUUUGUUGCAGCAAGUUUUUUUGUUGGUUUCACCUUUGUGUAUCUGGAUUUUUGCAUAAGAAGAAUUUUGGUUCUGAUUCUCAUGCUGUUGCUCAUGACAAGCCAAAAACAUUUUAUGAGUUCAAAGAAAUUCUUUUUUUUGAUAAGAAAAUAAGUGGAUAUGGAGUAUCCAUUUUUAAGGGUCCUUUUGGUGUUCCUGAAAAUCCUGAAUUUACUGUUGGUUUGGAUUCGCAAUUGAUUAAGCCGAAGAUGGAACUUCUCAGGGAUGGUAGAUCUACUCUUUUGUUGACUGGUUUAGGUGGAAUGGGAAAAACCACUUUGGCUACAAAGCUGUGUUUGGAUCAACAAGUUAAGGGUAAGUCAUAAUCCCUUUUAUUUAGGAAUUUUUCAUGUUCUUAUGCUAUUAUGCUUAUUAUAAAGAUUUGUUUAGUUAUAGUUAUCUAGAAAAGAUUGUUGAAAUUUGCUAACAUUGAAGAAUUUUCAGUUAUUAUCCUGUUUUGAAAGGCAUAUCAUAUAAGUGUUUAUGCAGAAGCUAAUUGUAUUAAAAAAAAGUUAAAAUAAACUCAAACUGUUUCUAUAUAAGUUAUAAGUUGUUUACAUAAGCCAUAUUGCAGAGUUUAUAAAGAUAAGCUGAAAACAACUUCAGCUUAUAGUCAUGUUUUCAAUAAGUUCUCCCAAAUAGUCGGUCACAAGUGCUUAUGCCAAACAUGGGCUGUUUUUGAUAAAUUUAUCAUAAAAUUUUGUUGUUGUUGUGAAAUUAAUACCGGUACACAAUCAUAUGUAUGCAUUAUUGUAGGAGAUAUGAAAUAUUAUGGGCUUAUUGUUUUCUUUUGAUUCUUUAGGCAAAUUCAAGGAAAACAUUAUAUUUGUAACCUUCUCAAAAACACCCAUGUUGAAGAUUAUGGUACAGAGACUAUUUGAACAUGGUGGAUAUCCGGUGCCUGAGUAUCAAAGUGACGAAGAAGCAGUUAAUGGAAUGGGAAAUUUACUGAGGAAAAUUGAGGGAAGUCCAAUAUUGUUAGUCCUGGAUGAUGUUUGGCCCGGCUCAGAAGACCUAGUCGAGAAAUUUAAAUUCCAGAUAUCAGAUUAUAAAAUUUUGGUCACUUCAAGGGUUGCAUUUUCUAGAUUUGACAAAACCUUUAUCGUAAAUCCUCUUGUUCACGAAGAUUCGGUGACCCUUUUCCGUCACUACACACAGUUGGGAAAAAACAAUUCAAAAAUUCCCGACAAAGAUCUUAUCCAAAAGGUGCUUGUUCUUCUUGUACUGACACCAUUUGAGCACCAAUGUUAUAUAAUCUGCUGAUUGCUGACUAUAUUUGUGUGCUUUGAAAUACAGAUUGUGGAAAAUUGCAAAGGUUUACCUCUUGCCAUUAAAGUGAUUGCAACAUCACUCACUAAUCGUUCAUAUGACUUGUGGGAAAAGAUUGUGAAGGAACUUUCUCAAGGUCGUUCUAUACUUGAUUCUAGUACUGAAUUACUUACUCGCCUCCGAAAGGUCUUGGAUGUUUUGGAAGAUAAUGCUAUUAACAAGGAGUGCUUCAUGGACCUUGCAUUAUUCCCUGAAGACCUGAGAAUUCCCGUUUCUGCUCUCAUUGAUAUGUGGGCGGAGUUGUAUAAACUAGAUGAUGAAGGCAUAGAAGCAAUGGCCAUCAUCAACAAAUUAGACUCUAUGAAUCUGGCUAAGGUCUCAAUAGCAAGGUAUAAUAUAACGACUACCAAAUAUAUCUAACAUGAAUUAUAUGGGGCAGAAAAUUUAAUAGCUCGAAGAGCUAUUCUAAGAAGCAUUGGAUUCCUAAAUUAACGUUAUAAACAGACCAUUUGUCUUGGAUUGAAUUUAAACUUUUCACAAAUUGUAACUUUGCAAUUUGCAUUGAUAAUUUUUAAUUCCAAGGGAAGAAGUCAAUAAUUGUAAUUAAACUAUCAAAUACAGAACAAGCUUUUUUAUCUAGUGUUUAGAGUUUUCUCUUCAAGGAAUACUAACUUUUGUUUGUUUCUCAGGAAAAAUGCAAGUGACACAGAAAGUUACUACUACAAUAGCCACUUCAUAUUCCUUCAUGAUCUUCUAAGAGAGCUAGGAAAUUAUCAAAACAACCAGGAACCAAUUGAACAAAGAAAAAGACUUCUUAUUGAUGCAAAUGAAAACACACAUGACCGGUGGCUUAUGGAGAAGCAGCAGGGCACAAUGACCCGCAUAUUGUCCAAUUUUUUUAAAUUGUGUGUUAAACCGAAGCCUCAACAGGUCCCUGCUCGCACAGUGUCUAUAUCAACUGGUUAGUUAUACUUUCACCUUUCUCUAAAUGUAUUCACUAACUUGCAAGUUAAAAAUAACAUCAACUCUAAAUAUAUCCACAAUUGAUUCCAUGUGUUGCGUUUUCAGAUGAAACUUGUGCUUCUUCAGAUUGGUCCCAAGUGCAGCCAGCUCAUGUUGAGGUUCUGAUUUUAAUUCUUCAAACCGAACAGUACACACUUCCAGAAUUGAAGGAGAAAAUGAGCAAACUAAGAGCUCUUAUAGUCAUAAAUCAUGGUUUACGCCCUUCUGUACUGAACAAUUUUGAGCUAAUUAGCUCUUUAUCCAACCUGAAAAGAAUCAGGCUAGAGCGGAUUUCUGUUCCUUCCUUUGGCACAAUGAAGAAUCUCAAAAAAUUAUCCCUCUACAUGUGUAAUACAAGACUAGCUUUUGAAAAGGGUAGCAUCCUAAUUUCAGAUUUGUUUCCUAAUUUAGAAGAUUUGAGCAUUGAUUAUUCCAAGGAUAUGGUGGCAUUGCCUAAUGGGGUGUGUGACAUUGCCUCAUUAAAAAAGCUCAGUAUUACUAAUUGCCAUAAGCUUUCUUCGCUGCCCCAAGAUAUUGGAAAGUUGAUGAAUUUGGAACUCUUGAGCCUGAUCUCAUGCACUGAUUUGGUAGAGUUGCCAGAUUCUAUUGGAAGGCUUUUAAAUCUAAGACUACUUGACAUCUCCAACUGCAUAAGCCUUUCAAGUUUACCUGAGGACUUCGGCAAUCUGUGUAAUCUAAGAAAUCUAUACAUGUCUAGUUGUACAAGUUGUGAAUUGCCAUUUUCAGUUGUCAAUCUUGCGAAUUUAAAGGUGAUAUGUGAUGAAGAGACGGCUGCUUCAUGGGAAUCUUUCCAAUCUAUGAUUUCCAAUCUCACUAUAGAGGUUCCUCAAGUUGAAGUCAACUUAAAUUGGCUUCAUGCAGGUCGCUCCUAAAAUUUGCAUGCGCUCUUCCUCUGCCUUUGCUAAUCUUUGUGGCAGUGUUCUUCAAAUGAAUGAAUACUUAUCAUGGGUAAUAGAGGUGGUUGUUGGUACCUCAGAAAUGGCUCCCAACGGAGGGGCUGAGUGGAUGCUAGCUCUUAGGUACAGCUCACAUCAACCAUCCGAACUGCUUCAUCAGGUGGUGACCUCUGGCCUUUCAACACUUGGGGGCUAGACAUUCUUUGGCCUUUCCACCUGCACCAGGUUUGUUAAUUCAUCAACCAUUCUUUGGUGAAUCAUCCACAAGCAAAUAAACAGGUUGGAUCAACUAACAAAAUCAUUUUCAAUGAAUGAAGAAAAUGAUUGGAUCAAGCAAAAGCAGAAUAGACAGAGGAGCUAAUAAGAGUAUUGUAGACAAAUCACAUUACACCCCAGUCAUCAACACAUAAAACACCUUUCAAACUUGUCUACAUAUUUCAUGCAAUGGUAUCAGUAUAACUCACAUCAGCUUCAAUCUGUGCGAAUUUAAUAAAUGAGUCCGCAUCGAGAUCAAACAGGAGAAUAGAUCUUGACUUACUCUACGAAGUCAGGGAACUAGUGUACAUAACUAAGUAUGUUUCAAAACUUAGGACUGCAAAUAGGUAUAACAGCAAAGUUAAAUCUAGAAAUUUCAAGGAAGGAGAUUAGUCUUACGGAAGACCGAGAAGGUAACGAAUAAAAAACACGGAAAGCUAGCGGCUAGUUGGAAAGGACCAUAUGGAUCAGCUCCGCUCUGUGCAAAAGAGCAUACAAGCUAGAAGGCCGAGCUAGAAACAUUUAUCUGAGAUUGUGGAAUGCCACACACCUCAAACUCUAUUUAUUUAGAUUUCUUGUAAUAUGAUGUACUCUUUUUCCUGCUUGGACCUUUUUUCUCGAAAAAGUUUUUGGUUCUUGGAGGUUUUAACUAGCACAUCUUUUUUUUUCCAUUUCAUUAUCAAUAAAGUCUUUGUUCAUUAUACUAUGAUCUCCAUUAAAAGAAAACACAUAAGCCUGAUGUGUUUCCGUCAAUGAGUCAAUUCAAUAUAUAAUAUAAGCUUGAACAGGCAAAUACAGUAUUUCUUUUAUUUAUCUCAGUAUAAAUAGCCUUACAACACAUGAACUUUACAUAGAAGAUUGCAUAAAAAGGAAUAUACAUGUACAAUUACAAGUCUUAUAUCAUCUAGGUGAAGAUGCAACAUCCAACAGGACAAACCCAUAUCCUACCCCAUGUACCAUCUCAGGAGUAAAAGAUGAGGCACAGUUUCACGUCAGCAAUCUGGUAUUAAUGUAAGGGAGGAACUCCUUUACAACUAGAAAAUGUAGUAUUCAAAUUUUCUUGAAAAUCAAUCAACCAAGGAGGCUCUCUUUUGGUAAACCAUAUUGUUCUCACAAAUCAGGGCAUAAAUGUUCACUGUUGGUCAAUAUAUUGGUUCUUAAACUCACCAUCAACGAGUGAUAAAAACAGUAUGUUUGACCAAUAACGAACAACCUCAGCCGAAUUUAAUAUACACGUCUCAAACUUUUGAAGAAUUAAAAUUUGGAGAAUGUUUCAAAGCUAGCGAGGGAAACAGAAAAUUGAUUCAUAGCAAAGGAAACAACUAUUUUAUAAGCCAAAACCAAAACAUAAAAGUUAAUGAAAAACAGUGUCUUCUUAAGGUUCUCGACCUUGUCCUUCAAAAACAACUUACUCGACUUUAACCUUUUCAUCUCGUAUUCCAAUAUUUUGAUCUCCCAUGUCAGACCUUCAAAUUUGACACCAACAUCUUCAAACACUUUUUCAACUUCCUUCCUUGACUUCUUCUCAUCCUCCAAAAGUUUUUCAAUUUCUUACUUGUCUUACAAGCAACAAUCAUUUUUCUUUUCGGCCAGCUUGUGCAACCUUUUUUGAAGGUUAUCUUUGCCAUUCCUCGCCAUGUCUAACCUAUACUCUCUCGCAUAGAUAUUUUAUUGUUAUUGUUGGGCAGCACAUAGAGCACGAAGGAGGUAAGAUGUGGAAACCACACACAGACAUUUUUUAGCCGAAAACUUUGUACAGUAUGUUGAUAAGACGCGACAGGGUGAUCUGCAACAGGACAGUUGAGUAAACCCCAUGUUACUGGCAGCUGCAAGCAUGACAUUCUUUGAAGAACACGACCAAUUGUUACCGGCAUUUGUUACCGAGGGGAAUUAUUUGGAAGCGGUUCCUCUAACGUUUUUGUGGGAACUCACAUUUGAGGGACAUAAUUUCUCCCUCUAUAUCAAUCAUUUAGAAAAUGAAUCCCAUUGAGAAAACACAGCCAACCUCAGCUGAAUUUAGCUUCCAUCAACAGCGGGUUAAUUAUGGACCAAAUUUAAAUGAGACGGGUCAACCUGCAUUGCCAUCUGUAUUUGAAAUUAGGGGUGUUCGUGGUGCAAUUUCAAUCGGUUUUGAGACAAAAACUCAUCUGAUCCAAAGUUAAAUUACCUGCGGUUCAGUUUUUGACGACUCGUUUAAAAAAUUGGAUCUGAAUUGAUCCAAUUUAAUGCAUAUUAUUUUGGAUUGGUUCUUGAAUAUGCAAAUUACAAAUUGUAAAUAAUAAGUUUGAUGCAAAAUAUAACACAUAAUAUGUUGAUGAAAAUUUUCGAUUAUAUUUCAAACAUAGAAAAUAGUAAAAAGUAUAAUAAAUUAAAUUGGGAUAUAGGUGGAAGAUUGGAGAUGGCUCCCAGAUCAAAGUUUGGUCCACAUCAUGGAUUCAUUCACUUUCUACUCUUCGACCCUCAACAACGCCACCUCCACAUCUGGAACAUUUAUUGGUUCGUGAUUUAAUAAAUCCUGAUUUGCAUACUUGGAAUAGUUCGCUCAUUAGUAACAUCUUUUCCAUCUCAGAAGCUUCGGUCAUUUGCAGACUGCCACUCCAUACGUGUAACCUGCAUGAUACUCGAGUUUGGCAAAUCGGCUUAUAACUUAUGCAUGUCUCUGAAAACUGACGCUAAUGUUUCCCCCACUGCAGCUGCGCAUAAUUGGAACAUUAUUUGGAUACAACAUGUGCCUCCUAGAGUAUGUUCCCUGUUAUGGAGAAUGGCUCAUUGUUGCCUUCCAACCCGCACUCGCUUGAUCCAGAAAGGUUUAUCUAUUGACGAUACUUGUGUUCAUUGCGAUGUCCUGGAUGAAUCCCACAUCUAGUCAUUCUUUGUGUGCCCAAAAGCAAUCAAUUGUUUGAACAAGUCCAAUUGGAUGGUAUUGUGCGAGAGUUACCACGUGAUGCUAUUGAUUUCAGAUCUCUUCUUUUUUAUUUCUUUAGCAGGUUACAAACACAUACCCAGGCAACAACAUCUAUUAUUCUAUGGAGUUUGUGGAAAAAUAGAAACUCUAAAUUAUGGCAAGCAGGGACACACCCUCCUCAUCAUUGAUCGUUCAGCGAGCGCAUAAUUCCCUUCAUGAAUGACCCUGUUUACAAAGAGCAAGACAAUCUAACCAAAAUAUUUCAGUUUAAAAUACAAUGUAGAUUGUGCCCUCUUCAACAACAAUACCAUCACAUGGCUCGUCAUCUGCUAUCGAGACUCUUCAGGGGCAUUACAUUAUGGAUCAUCUAACUACUCUUUAUAUACUUCUUCCCCUUCAGAAGCCGAGGCUCUAAGCCUUAACCUUCGCUGACAAUCAAGGCAUUGAGUCUGUCAUAUUUGAGUCUGAUUGUAAGCUAGUUCUUUUAUUCUAUUUGGCAAGUAUUUGGAAGUGUUGGCUAAAGGGAAAACAUCACAAGCUAUUGCGAAACUCAUGGAUUUAACACCUGAUACAGCAACCUUACUAACUCUUGAUGAUGAUAAGGGAAAUGUUAUAGGUGAAAGAGAAAUUGAUAGCAGGUUGAUACAGAAGAAUGAUGUGAUCAAAGUUGUGCCGGGCGCGAAAGUAGCAUCAGAUGGUUUUGUUGUUUGGGGACAAAGUCAUGUAAAUGAGAGUAUGAUAACUGGUGAGGCAAAGCCUGUUGCUAAGAUGAAGGGUGAUAUGGUGAUUGGUGGUACUGUGAAUGAAAAUGGUGUUUUGCAUGUUAAGGUAGCAAGGGUUGGAUCAGAAACUGCACUUUCCCAGAUUGUUAGACUUGUUGAGUCUGCUCAGAUGGCUAAAGCUCCUGUCCAGAAAUAUGCUGACCAGAUUUCUAAAUACUUUGUUCCUAUAGUAAGUGUAAAUUACUAAUACUAACUAGCUCCGUGAUUUUUACGAAAACUAAACUACUGAGCUUCAACAAAAUCACGGUGUCAAUACAAUUUUGUCAAAUUCACCGUGAUUUCAAACAUGUAUUAUGUGUUUAAACAUUUAAGUCAAAUAAUAGAAUUGUAUUUUACAUAUACUUACUGGUGCCUGUUUUUGUAGGUGAUUGUGUUAUCUCUUUCAACAUGGAUAUCAUGGUUUGUAGCUGGAAAAUUGCAUUCAUACCCAAAAUCAUGGAUACCAUCUUCUAUGAAUAAUUUCGAGCUUGCACUUCAGUUUGGAAUUUCAGUCAUGGUCAUAGCUUGUCCUUGUGCUCUAGGCCUCUACUCCUACAGCGGUCAUGGUUGGUACUGGAGUUGGUGCAACUCAAGGUGUGUUGAUCAAAGGUGGCCAAGCAUUAGAAAGUGCACACAAGGUGAAGGCAAUUGUUCAAAACAAGGAAAUAAUGGUUGGAAAUAAAAAACUGAUGUUAGAUCAUAACAUAGCUAUUUCAGUGGAAGCUGAAGAAAUACUAGCAGAAGCUGAAAACAUGGCUCAAACAGGAAUUUUGGUAUCAUUGGAUGGAGAAAUUGUUGGAGUUUUGGCUGUGUCUGAUCCACUGAAACCUGAUGCAAAAGAAGUUAUUUCUAUUCUUAAAUCCAUGAAAAUAAAGAGCAUAAUGGUGACAGGUGAUAAUUGGGGAACUGCAAAUUCUAUAGCUAGACAAGCUGGUAUUGAAACUGUCAUGGCAGAGGCUCAACCUGAAACUAAAGCUAUUAAAGUAAAAGAAUUGCAGGUACACACAAAAUUAUGGUCCCCAAUUACCAAAUUAUUGCUUCACUCCUUUAGGGUUUCCUCUCAUGGUUUUAAUACUUUGUUCAUUGUAGGACAUUUAUUCAAUUAUUAUAGUGUUUAUUGGUUUUAAUCUCUAAAAAAUUUUAUUUGGAUUGAGUCCGUGCAAAUUCAAUAACUGCUGUUUUUUAGUCUUUAACGUCAGCUUAUUGGGUCACAUAUGACGUCAGAGACUAAAACCAAUCGUGUUUAAUUUGUAAGGAUUGAAUCUGAACAAAAUAUUUAGCGGGACUAACCAAGUAAUUUGACUCAAAUAGUCAAUAAGCUCCUCUAGGACGAAUCAUUCAGGAAAACUCGAAUUUGAUUUUUGCUGGCAACAAUUUUUGGUCAGACUUUAUUUAUCCGAGUUCAAAAUAAUUUGCAAUAAUUGCAAAAACUAAAAUCAUAUUUAACCUUCAUUUUUUUUAUAUAUUAAAAUUGAACAAAAUUUACUUAGACUUCAAAUAAUUAAAAUUUGUAGGGACCAAAAAUAUAUUAACCCUAUAUAAUCUUUAGACAAUCAUGUGAUAGUUAUUUGACAUACUUGGUGGCAGAAUUCUGGAUACACAGUAGGAAUGGUAGGAGAUGGUAUAAAUGAUUCACCAGCACUAGUAGCAGCUGAUGUUGGAAUGGCAAUUGGUGCUGGAACAGACAUUGCUAUUGAAGCAGCUGACAUUGUUCUUAUGAAGAGUAACUUAGAGGAUAUAAUAAUUGCCAUUGACCUUGCAAAGAAAACUUUCUCACGUAUACGUCUAAAUUAUAUUUGGGCUUUAGGUUAUAAUAUUCUAGCCAUUCCUAUUGCUGCUGGCAUACUUUUUCCUUCUACUAAAUUUAGGUUACCACCUUGGAUUGCUGGAGCUGCAAUGGCUGCUUCUUCUAUCAGUGUUGUUUGCUCUUCUCUCUUGUUGAAGAAAUACAAGAAACCAACCAAGCUUAACAACUUGGAGAUGAAUGGUAUUCAGAUUGAAUAAUCAACUUGUCAAUUGUAUAUUUGUAACUAUAAUAACUAGGCUUGUUUAUUGGGAGCAACAUUUUGUUAUGUUGCAAUUGUAAUUUCAAUGUAAAUUAAAAAGUAAGUAAUUAUUUUUCUUAAAAAAAGUAAUUA